GACGAACGCUGGCGGCGUGCUUAACACAUGCAAGUCGAACGGAAAGGCCCUGCUUUUGUGGGGUGCUCGAGUGGCGAACGGGUGAGUAACACGUGAGUAACCUGCCCUUGACUUUGGGAUAACUUCAGGAAACUGGGGCUAAAACCGGAUAGGAGCUCCUGCUGCAUGGUGGGGGUUGGAAAGUUUCGGCGGUUGGGGAUGGACUCGCGGCUUAUCAGCUUGUUGGUGGGGUAGUGGCUUAACAAGGCUUUGACGGGUAGCCGGCCUGAGAGGGUGACCGGCCACAUUGGGACUGAGAUACGGCCCAGACUCCUACGGUAGGCAGCAGGGGGGAAUAUUGCACAAUGGGCGGAAGCCUGAUGCAGCAACGCCGCGUGCGUGAUGACGGCCUUCGGGUUGUAAACCGCUUUCGCCUGUGACGAAGCGUGAGUGACGGUAAUGGGUAAAGAAGCACCGGCUAACUACGUG
rnacentral:rRNA from 1 species